GAGAUUAGAUUUAAAAAGAUACUGACUUCCAUCUUUCUUGAUAUCUUCUUUCUCUGUUGAAAAAAGUGUCAUGUUAGAGAUGCCUCAUGGCAAGGAAUUGAGGAUGAUUUCUAACCAACAGCCAGUGAAGAACUGAAGCCUUUAGUCCAACAACCCACAAGGAACUAUAUCCGGCCAACAACUACAUGAGUGAACUUGGAAGUGGUUCCUUAUGCAGUCAAGCCAUGAGAAGAAGGCAGUUAUCAUCUUGACUGUAGCCUUGUGAAACACCUUGAGCCAGAGGACUCAACUAAGAGGUAAAGAAAGCUUUUGAUGAUUCACUGACUGAGGACUCACAAUCCAGAACCUGAAGAUUGGAUCUUCUGAGAACAUAUGAGAAAGACUGCCCUUGCCAUCCACACUGCAGCAAGACUUUAAGACCUUGAACCUUGGGUUCAUAAUCUUACAAUCCCUGAGAAGGCUCCCUCCACACUCUUGGAACUUCAAAAUUUCCUUAAGGAUUUGGUACCUGGUUGGCAUUCAGCAUAUGUUUAAUAGAAACAAUAGAUGAGUGAAGGAAUGCAGAAAAGAGGAAGAGGAUCUCGCCAAAACAGGAUCUGAACAUGUUGAAUUUGAGAUGCUGUGAUACAUCCAUGAGAUGCCAUUAUGUCCGGAAUUGGUGGGUUCUUGGUCUUGCUGACUUCAAGAAUGAAGCUGGGAC